GGAGCUGCACUCGCGUUUGGAAGAGGCGCCGAGCAGCCGAGUCGAGUUGAGGUCCGAGGAGGAGGAGCCUCUGGGGCAUGGGAGCAAUGAUUUGGGCGAACAAAUCCAUGAAGAUGAGGCUCAAGGGACGCAGAUUUGAGACGGUGGAGGAGAUCCAAGCGGUAACAACCGACGUCUUGAACACACUGACAAAAAACGACUUCCAGAGGUGCUUUGAAAUGUUGCAAUCUCACUGGCAUUGGUGUAUCAACUCAGCAGAGAUGUCUUGAAGCGAAUGUCCCAGCCACCCUACCUGAACAUUUGAGAGAUGCAGCGCAUCAAGAAUUUCCAAACAUCUUCAUGCCACAGGAAAACAUUUGCACGGAAUGUGAAGGCCAUAUUUAUUUAAAUGAGCCGGUAUUGAUCACAAAAUUAGCAAAAAUCAAUACAUUG